rnacentral:tRNA from 1 species
UGGCGGGUAGUUCAAUCGGCAGAACGCCUGACUUUGGAUCAGGAGGUUCCAGGUUCGAGCCCUGGCCCGCCAGCGA